rnacentral:rRNA from 1 species
AGCAGUAGCCGCGGUAAUACGUAGGUGGCAAGCGUUGUCCGGAAUUAUUGGGCGUAAAGGGCUCGCAGGCGGUUUCUUAAGUCUGAUGUGAAAGCCCCCGGCUCAACCGGGGAGGGUCAUUGGAAACUGGGAAACUUGAGUGAGAAGAGGAGAGUGGAAUUCCACGUGUAGCGGUGAAAUGCGUAGAGAUGUGGAGGAACACCAGUGGCGAAGGCGACUCUCUGGUCUGUAACUGACGCUGAGGAGCGAAAGCGUGGGGAGCGAACAGGAUUAGAUACCCCUGUAGUCCCUGUCUCUUAUACA